UUUGACAUCAUCAUAUUUGUAUUUACAAAUUAAUAUUCAAAUUACUUUAUUUACUAGGUUUUAUCAACAAAAUAAGUGUGUGUGUGUAUAUAAUAUCAAUAUAUAUAUUAUACACUCGCAGUUCGGAUAUCAUGAAAACCAACAGAUAAUACAAUUUCAUCUCUGGCCGCGGACUUUGUCCGGUGUACAUAAUUUACCUACAAGCCGACAAUAAUAAGACGUAGAAACCUGUUGCACGAGACACGGCGAGCGCGGUCUUUAUACCGCCAUACCAGCUCACCAGAACAGCGCCAUAGUAAAUUCGGUUCAGGAGUUUGUCCCACGUGCGCGUUGGCCGGCAAAACAGCAUGGACCAUGAGGCAGCAGAGGUACCAGCGAUGCACCUACACGCACGCACGAUAAUGUCACGCCGUUGCCUUACCAGUUACCACCCAUUCUUUUCGCGGGGGCAGACACACAGACAAGUUCAAUUAAUAAUGUCUUACAAUAAUAUCUACUUAUAGGUGCAUCAUGCGUCUUGAUAUUUGUAUACUAUAUUAGAAAACUGGUAUUAGAAAAAGAGCUUAGAUAUAGUAUAAUAAUUUGCACAUGCA